CCCCCAGGCAUACAGAUUCUCUCUCCUCACCACGAGGCUGCUGCUGGAGGAUGGAGGAGGGGUGGUGUCAGCAAUUCAAGACUGUCUUUCCUACCCUCUUCAGUGCCCUUCCUUGAUAAGCUGUUUAAACCAGAACCGACUGUUUCUGGAAAAGGUAAACAUCUAUUCUCCAAAGGGCAGUGACUUUCUACCUGUGAAAAUAAAAAGUAAACUUCAGAAGAAAAUUCUGAAAGAGGAAUUUAGAGAUGUUCCAAAUAAAGGCAAUAUAGUUUCACUGGAACUGAAAUGUUGCCUUCCAAUUCUACUACAGAAGGCAGAGUGGCACAUGUGGCACCUGGUCAGGAUGGACUCACUAAAGGAUUUAACCCAGACUUCUGAUCAACAAAUAUUGCUGCUACAUUAACUGAUUCGCAACAAAGAAAGAAAAUAUCAUCCAGUUGAUUUUAUUAUUUAAAUAUGG
rnacentral:lncRNA from 1 species